rnacentral:Y_RNA from 1 species
GGGUGGUCCAAAGGUAGUGAGUUAUCUCAAUUGAUUGUUUACAGUCAGUUACAGAUGGUACUCCUUGUUCUACUCUCCCCCCUUCUCACUACUGCACUUGACCAGUCUUUU